rnacentral:rRNA from 1 species
AUUGAACGCUAGCGGGAUGCUUUACACAUGCAAGUCGAACGAGUGGCGGACGGGUGAGUAGUAUAUCGGAACGUGCGCAGUAGCGGGGGAUCACUACUCGACAGAGUGUCUAAUCCCGCAUACUAUUGGGGCGCCCGAUAUGGGAUUAGCUAGUUGGUGGGGUAAAGGCUCACCAAGGCAACGAUCCGUAGCUGGUUUGAGAGGACGACCAGCCACACUGGGACUGAGACACGGCCCAGACUCCUACGGGAGGCAGCAGUGGGGAAUAUUGGACAAUGGGGGAAAGCCUGAUCCAGCCAUCCCGCGUGUAUGAGAAGGCCUUCGGGUUGUAAAGUACUUUUGGCAGAGAAGCGGUAUCGGCAGAAGAAGCACCGGCUAACUACGUGCCAGCAGCCGCGGUAAUUC